rnacentral:rRNA from 1 species
UACGUAGGGUGCGAGCGUUGUCCGGAAUUAUUGGGCGUAAAGAGCUUGUAGGCGGUUUGUCGCGUCUGCUGUGAAAAUCCGGGGCUCAACCCCGGACUUGCAGUGGGUACGGGCAGACUAGAGUGCGGUAGGGGAGACUGGAAUUCCUGGUGUAGCGGUGGAAUGCGCAGAUAUCAGGAGGAACACCGGUGGCGAAGGCGGGUCUCUGGGCCGUAACUGACGCUGAGGAGCGAAAGCAUGGGGGAGCGAACAGG